rnacentral:rRNA from 1 species
UACGGGGGGGGCAAGCGUUGGUUCGGAAUUACUGGGCGUAAAGGGCUCGUAGGUGGCCAACUAAGUCAGACGUGAAAUCCCUCGGCUUAACCGGGGAACUGCGUCUGAUACUGGAUGGCUUGAGUUCGGGAGAGGGAUGCGGAAUUCCAGGUGUAGCGGUGAAAUGCGCAGAUAUCAGGAGGAACACCGGUGGCGAAGGCGGGUCUCUGGGCCGUAACUGGACGCUGAGGAGCGAAAGCAUGGGGAGCGAACAGG